rnacentral:rRNA from 1 species
AUUGAACGCUGGCGGCAGGCUUAACACAUGCAAGUCGAGCGAGCGGCGGACGGGUGAGUAAGGUCUGGGAAACUGCCUGAUGGAGGGGGAUAACUACUGGAAAAGGUAGAUAAUACCGCAUACCAUCAGAUGUGCCCAGAUGGGAUUAGCUAGUAGGUGGGGUAAUGGCUCACAUAGGCGACGAUCCCUAGCUGUCGUGAGAGGAUGACAGUCCACACGGGAACUGAGACACGGUCCAGACUCCGACGGGAGGCAGCAGUGGGGAAUAUUGCACAAUGGGCGCAAGCCUGAUGCAGCAAUGCCGCGUGUGUGAAGAAGGCCUUCGGGUUGUAAAGCACUUUCAGCGAGGAGGCGUUACUCGCAGAAGAAGCACCGGCUAACUCCGUGCCAGCCGCCGCGGUAAUUC